rnacentral:rRNA from 1 species
GAUGAACGCUGGCGGCGUGCCUAACACAUGCAAGUCGAACGAAGCUUGACGGAUGAUUUCUUCGGAAUGAAACCAGAUAUGACUUAGUGGCGGACGGGUGAGUAACACGUGAGCAACCUGCCUUUCAGAGGGGGAUAACGGCUGGAAACGGUCGCUAAUACCGCAUGAUGUGUUCGGAUGGCAUCAUCUGAACAUCAAAGAUUUAUCGCUGAAAGAUGGGCUCGCGUCUGAUUAGAUAGUUGGGGGGUAACGGCCUACCAAGUCUACGAUCAGUAGCCGGACUGAGAGGUAGAACGGCCAGAUUGGGACUGAGAUACGGCGCAGGCUCCUACGGGAGGCAGCAGUGGGGAAUAUUGCACAAUGGGGGAAACCCUGAUGCAGCAACGCCGCGUGAAGGAUGACGGUUUUCGGAUUGAAAACUUCUUUUCUUAGUGACGAAGACAGUGACGGUAGCUAAGGAAUAAGCAUCGGCUAACUACGUG